GCAGUCGUAACCAAGUGGUUAAGGCGAUGGACUAGAAAUCCAGAGGUUCGAAACCUGUCGACUGCG
rnacentral:tRNA from 1 species